CCAAUAGCGUAUAUUAAAGUUGUUGCAGUUAAAAAGCUCGUAGUUGAAUUUCGGGAUCAAGGAAUCGGUCAUGCCUUGGUAUGUACUGGUUUUAUUGGUUCUCACCUUCUAAAGAACCAUAAUGUCAUUUAUUUGAUGUUAUGGGGAAUUAGGACUGUUACCUUGAAAAAAUUAGAGUGUUUAAAGCAAGCUUACGCUUG
rnacentral:rRNA from 1 species